UUGAAGCUUGGGAAUUAACAUGACCAACUUCUGCUUGCGAUUUCUUGCGACCUGCUUCAAUGUGCCAUUGACAUUUUAGCUUGGUAUAACUAAUGACUUUGAUCUAUUUAUCCUGCAUGGAAUCCUGUACAAUAUGCUUAUUACUAUAACCUUGCUCUCAUUUAUUCAUGAUUUUACUUCUGAUCAAACUGUUAUGGUACCAUUCAG
rnacentral:lncRNA from 1 species